rnacentral:rRNA from 1 species
UACGGAGGAUGCAAGCGUUAUCCGGAUUCAUUGGGUUUAAAGGGUGCGUAGGCGGACUAUUAAGUCAGUUGUGAAAGGCUGCGGCUCAACCGCAGCACUGCAGUUGAUACUGGCGUCCUUGAGUGCGGUUGAGGUAUGUGGAAUUCGUGGUGUAGCGGUGAAAUGCUUAGAUAUCACGGAGAACUCCGAUUGCGAAGGCAGCAUACUAAGCCGCUACUGACGUUGAGGCUCGAAAGUGUGGGUAUCAAACA